rnacentral:tRNA from 1 species
GGAUUAUGGCUCAGAGGCAGAGUGCUUGCCUUGCAUGUAUGAGGCACUGGGUUCAAUACUCAGCACCA